AACCCAUGAUGUGGGCACUUUCGCAAAAGGUCCUUGAAUCUUUCAUAAGCUUCAUACAAAGACUCCAUAUCAAACUGUUGAAAAUUCUGAAUUUCUUUAAUCAGGCG
rfam:Daucus carota subsp. sativus cultivar DH1 chromosome 3, whole genome shotgun sequence.